AGAAACACUGGUUCCCUUACGAUCACCGAAGUUAAACAACGUCGAGCCAGGUCAGUACCUAGAUGGGUAACCGUUUAGUAAUACCAGGUGCUAUA